CUUGACAUCCCGAUGCUAGUUUCUAGAGAUAGAAAGGUACUUCGGUACAUCGGUGACAGGUGGUGCAUGGUGUCGUCAGCUCGUGUCGUGAGAUGUUGGGUUAAGUCCCGCAACGAGCGCAACCCCUAUGUUAGUUGCCAUCAUUCAGUUGGGCACUCUAGCGAGACUGCCGGUAAUAAACCGGAGGAAGUGGGGAUGACGUCAAAUCAUCAUGCCCCUUAUGACCUGGGCUACACACGUGCUACAAUGGUUGGUACAACGAGUUGCGAGUCGGUGACGGCGAGCUAAUCUCUUAAAGCCAAUCUCAGUUCGGAUUGUGGGCUGCAACUCGCCUACAUGAAGUCGGAAUCGCUAGUAAUCGCGGAUCAGCACGCCGCGGUGAAUACGUUCCCGGGCCUU
rnacentral:rRNA from 1 species